rnacentral:rRNA from 1 species
AUGAGGCAAUUACACACACCCAUUUUGAGAAGCUAUACAAAUAUAGGAACACUUGGGUGCCAUGUUACUUCAAGCAUAGAUUUCUUCCCAUUCUUGCAGUCUACACAACGAAGUGAGGGGUUCAAUGCAGUCUUGAAGCGGUAUGUCAACCCUCACAAGUCAAUUCUGAACUUUGUGAAGGAGUACCACAAAAUACAGACGCACAUCCUCAUCAAGGAAGGGUGCAAUGACUACAGGACAGAACAUCUGGAUCUUGACAUGUGGUCACAAUUCCCAAUAGAGAAGCAGGCAUACAAGACAUAUACUAGAGAUCUUUACUGCAAGUUCCGUGAUGAGUUUUCGAUGAUUGGACGCUAUAAUGCAUUCCAAAUUGGUGUGGAAACGUUUGAGCUGAGACCAAAUACAGAAUGGGUUGUGAAGUAUGGUUACAGGAACUACUUGGUGUUGGCAAAAAUACCCGAGGGACAAUUUUCGUGUGAGUGUACCAAAAUGGAGAGGGAUGGCAUCCUUUGUUGCCACAUACUAAAAGUGUUCACACAUAUUGGGCUUGAUGUCAUCCCGGAGCAGUACAUGUUGACGCGUUGGACGCCAAUUGCUAUCCCAAGUGUGCCAAGUGCCACUAGCCAGCAAUCUGAUGUAAUGCCUCCUGCCUCUCUAAAGGAAAUUAGGCAUGCUAACAUGACCUCAGACUUCCAAAAACUAGCAAAGUUUGCUUGUGGUUCUGAUGCAGCAAAAGGCAUUGUCGAUAAACACAUGCGUGCAACGCGGACAGAGAUUGUGCAGCUGAACAAGUCUAGAAGGAAAAAAGGCUGCAAGAGAGGCAGGUCCGUCCGCUGGUGA